GUUUCCUUGAGGAAGAAGAAAACAUUUCGCUUCAUAUCUUCAUCUUCCACAUGAGGAAAAAAAAAACAAGCCCAGUCCAGUUGUUUUUUGAAGGAAAAAAAAAAAGCAUCUUGGAGAUAACUAGGACCUGGAUGACUGAGAAUCUCCACAGACAAAAGUCUGUGAAUGCGAGAAACCCAGGAUCCCCCAAGAUACGAAUGGUUUUCUGCCAGAUGUUACGAUCCCAUUUGUUCACUAAGUUAUGAAAGGGCAACCAAUGCAGUGAUAAAUAAACAGAGGACGAAGGGGGGUUGAGAAACUUUCUCAUUCUCGGCCCUUACCAACCCCCACAUCUUGAAGUGCCUAGCUGCGGAUUAAAAGCCCUUGAAGGGAGAGCUACAUUUUAUUCCCAAGUAGUUUUGGCUCAGGAAAUCCGAAAAUGUAGGAUGCUGCUCCAACCUUGCCAAGUUUUUGAAGUAUGUUCCUAGAAGAAGAGCCAACAAAAUGGACAAGCUUGCAAGCUUGCUGCAGGGAUGCCUACAGAUGCUCAAGAACAGAUGUUUGCUCUUGCUGGCCAAAUCCUUGUCCCGCUUUAAGGUUGGUUUGACCUGUGUGUGAACAGUCCCGCGAGCUGUGCCAAGAGCGGUGAACAAAUGGCGGCAGCCGGUUCCCACUCCGCUUCUCCUUCACUCUCUCUUUAGCCCGCCAAAUGCUCAGCCACGCUUCCUUUUAAGCACUCAAUUACCCCUGAGCAACUGAAGCUCAUACAUCCUCCUGGCUUAACGGCUCCGAAGCCAUUUCGCCCUAAUUUAUGAGGACAGGGUUCAAAGUUUUAAUAAUAUUUGGAUAAUAUCAUUGCCAAAGACGUCUCCGAGCGCUGAUGGAUGAGGGAGAGAAGGAGAUGCAUUUGGAUUCCACGCAUGACAAGGUCUGGGCGUUUCGCAGCACAGGCCUCCGUUUCAAACUCUUCGGGAAAACGUUCGCCCGGCUCUCCGUUCUUCUCAUGAAUUAUGGAUCUGUGAACGCGAGGGAUUAUAAACGGUGACGGAAAACACACAGAGACUGUCCGUACCGAAGGAGCUGUCCUCUUGGCAACUCUGUGGUCUACAGAUAAAUGGGUUUUGCAGGGAAGACCAAAAUGGUUGACAAAACACUUAGCGGAUAAUGUAUCAGGCCAUUGGCAUAAAAUAUACACGGGCGCCCCUGCCACGCUUGUGUAUUAACGUUGACACUC